GAAUGGGUGAAAAUUGGUGUGACUUCAGUUCAGGUUGAGACUUGAUGCUCUUCCGAUCUCGUCAGACCAAAUCGGUGCUUCUUUAACGAAAGAUUUUACUUGGUUGACCAUGUUACAAUAUCUCAACAGAUACUAGAAUAAAAAACAAAAACAUGUAAAAACAGUAAAGAAAACCUGAAAGACAACCUCUUAAAGCCGUUGAACUCAGAGCAUUCCAGUAAAUUUAAUGUAUGUACUUUAGCUGUACCAUAACUAGUUUGUUUGUAUGGGAGGGGAAAGGCCAAAGAAAAGAGCCUCUUUUCUUUUUCCUUUUUAUUUUGUUUUUGUCAGCGACUUUUUGUUUUAUGACGGCCUGUUUUGAUGUAUGUGCGAAGUUUGUUGUUUGACAAUAAACCGGACUUUUAUUUUGUGAGUUGUA